AGAAUCAACGCUGGCGGCGUGCCUAACACAUGCAAGUCGCACGGUCGGAGCAAUCCGGCAGUGGCGGACGGGUGAGUAACGCGUAGGAAUCUAUCUCUGGGUGGGGGACAACCGUGGGAAACUACGGCUAAUACCGCAUGAUACCUGAGGGUCAAAGGCGCAAGUCGCCUGGAGAGGAGCCUGCGUACGAUUAGCUUGUUGGUGGGGUAAAGGCCUACCAAGGCGACGAUCGUUAGCUGGUCUGAGAGGAUGAUCAGCCACAUUGGGACUGAGACACGGCCCAAACUCCUACGGGAGGCAGCAGUGGGGAAUAUUGGACAAUGGGCGAAAGCCUGAUCCAGCAAUGCCGCGUGGGUGAAGAAGGUUUUCGGAUUGUAAAGCACUUUCGGCGGGGACGAUGAUGACGGUACCCGCAGAAGAAGCCCCGGCUAACUUCGUGCCAGCAGCCGCGGUAAUACGAAGGGGGCUAGCGUUGCUCGGAAUGACUGGGCGUAAAGGGCGCGUAGGCGGUUGACACAGUCAGGCGUGAAAUUCCUGGGCUUAACCUGGGGGCUGCGCUUGAUACAUGUUGACUUGAGUGUGGAAGAGGGUCGUGGAAUUCCCAGUGUAGAGGUGAAAUUCGUAGAUAUUGGGAAGAACACCGGUGGCGAAGGCGGCGACCUGGUCCAUUACUGACGCUGAGGCGCGAAAGCGUGGGGAGCAAACAGGAUUAGAUACCCUGGUAGUCCACGCCGUAAACGAUGUGUGCUGGAUGUUGGGUGGCCUAGCCAUUCAGUGUCGUAGCUAACGCGGUAAGCACACCGCCUGGGGAGUACGGCCGCAAGAUUAAA
rnacentral:rRNA from 1 species